rnacentral:rRNA from 1 species
GACGAACGCUGGCGGCGUGCUUAACACAUGCAAGUCGAACGGAAAGGCCCUGCUUUUGUGGGGUGCUCGAGUGGCGAACGGGUGAGUAACACGUGAGUAACCUGCACUUGACUUUGGGAUAACUUCAGGAAACUGGGGCUAAUACCGGAUAGGAGCUCCUGCUGCGUGGUGGGGGUUGGAAAGUGUCGGCGGUUGGGGAUGGACUCGCGGCUUACCAGCUUGUUGGUGGGGUAGUGGCUUACCAAGGCUUUGACGGGUAGCCGGCCUGGGAGGGUGACCGGCCACAUUGGGACUGAGAGACGGCCCAGACGCCUACGGGAGGCAGCAGUGGGGAAUAUUGCACAAUGGGCGGAAGCCUGAUGCAGCAACGCCGCGUGCGGAAUGACGGCCUUCGGGUUGUAAACCGCUUUCGCCUGUGACGAAGCGUGAGUGACGGUAAUGGGUAAAGAAGCACCGGCUAACUACGUG